CCAAUGAACUCCUACAUUUCCGUGACCUUUUCUUGCUUUUCCAAAUCUCUUUCAGUUUAUCUGAUUUGUUCCUUGCUCUUGGUGUUGGCUGUCCUUCUUUCUCCAACUGGAUCCAGCCCUUCUGAACUUUCAUGUACUGGGCAUUGAAGUUGGCGAUGAGCUCUUGGUUCUCCUCCUCAGCACACCAUUCCAUAAACUUUGGCUGUUCAUCUACCACGGUGUCAACAUCGUCCUCAUCUAGGGGGUCUCCACUCUCUGAAGCUCCAUUUUCCUUUGGCAUUAUGGGGUUUACUUGUGCAGCUUCCUUUUCUGAAGUCACUUUUGAAGCAUCCAAGGAGCCCAGAGAAUGAGCGUGUCUUAGGUUGUAGGUUGAAGAGGUCAAUCUUUUAGGCCUUGGCACCGAUUUUGGUGCCCUAGCAGCAUCACCACUUCCACUACUCGACAACCCAAGAGAGCUGCAUGGGGCAUCACUCUCAUCAUCUUUCUGCUGGGUGUUUUCGUUGUCUACCUCAUUCACAGCCUCCUCCACAUGCUGUGUGGGAAUAUGCCCUGGCUCUUCUUUUGCCUGUUCUGGGUCCCUCUUACAAGCAAUACUUUCUGAGGGGAUAUGAGCAUUCUUCUCAUCCAUUUUAGACUGAACAUAGAUUUCCAAUCUCUCUCCAGGCAGUGGCUGUCCAGCUGUGGUUAUGGGGUCCCUGCUGGGGAAAAUCUCUCCUCGUAACUCCUUGACUUCUUUGUCCAGCAUGUUUUUCAAAGUCUGCCUGGUGAUGAUCCCCCCGCCUUCGCCCUCCUGCUCAGCAUCUUUCUCAGAGGGGCGUUCAUUGACACUUGGCUUUUCUGUGUCCUCCAGAGUUUCCGUGUGGAAACUGUCAGGUAGAAGGCCCUUAGGUGUUGUCCCACCAGGGUGCCCUUCUUUUUUUGAACGUUUUGCACUAGGAUUUUUAGGAACUUUGAUUUCAAGACAAGCUGAGGAAGAAUCUGAACUCUGAUUUCUUAGCACUGAGGACUUUCUUCU
rnacentral:lncRNA from 1 species